UACGGAAGGCAGCAGUGGGGAAUAUUGCACAAUGGGCGCAAGCCUGAUGCAGCCAUGCCGCGUGUAUGAAAAAGGCCUUCGGGUUGUAAAGUACUUUCAGUCGUGAGGAAGGUGUUAAGGUUAAUAACCUUAGCAAUUGACGUUAGCGACAGAAGAAGCACCGGCUAACUCCGUGCCAGCAGCCGCGGUAAUACGGAGGGUGCGAGCGUUAAUCGGAAUUACUGGGCGUAAAGGGCACGCAGGCGGUUAAUUAAGUUGGAUGUGAAAUCCCCGGGCUUAACCUGGGAAUGGCAUUCAAGACUGGUUAGCUAGAGUCUUGUAGAGGGGGUAGAAUUCCAUGUGUAGCGGUGAAAUGCGUAGAGAUGUGGAGGGAUACCGGUGGCGAAGGCGGCCCCUGGACAAAGACUGACGCUCAUGUGCGAAAGCGUGGGGAGCAAACAGGGAUUAGAUACC
rnacentral:rRNA from 1 species